UUUUUUUUUUUUUUACAUAAAAGUCAGUUUUGGUUUUUUUUUUUGCUUAAAAUUUUUUUUCCUCAAAAUAGGUAAAUUUUUGGAAUGACGUCAUUGUUUGGUAUGUGACGUCACGAACGUCGAGUUUUCAUAUUGUAUGUGACGUCACGAACGUCAAGUUUUCAUAGAUUUUGGCACACUAAAUGCAACUAUGAAAAAUACAAAACACACAAAUUAAUACAAUAAUAAACAAAAUAUUUUUAAAACAACAGCACGCAAAUUGUAAGGUAACCCAGGUGCUUCGGAUAAGUAAUUGAGCAGUUCUUUUAAUGCCUUUGAAACAAGACAAAAGUAGAACUGAAGGUAACCCAGUGCUAUGGAUCAGAAAACAGUUCAUAUAAUAUAAUACUCUUCUGUUGAAAUAUAUGAUAAAGUGUAUAAU
rnacentral:lncRNA from 1 species